CUAAAGAAGUUUUGGUGGGGAAGUAAGCAGGGCCAAAGGAAGUCGGCAUGGGUAUCUUGGAGAACUAUGUGCAAACCGAAGUUCAUGGGUGGUUUGGGCUUUCGGGAUGUUGAGCUUUUCAACCUUGCUUUAUUAUCAAAACAAGUGUGGCGCUUGCUUCAAGAACCUGAUACACUUAGUGCUCGAGUUUUGAAAGCACGGUACUACCCAAACGAUAACAUUCUGGAAGCAGUUUUGGGUCGUCACCCAUCUCACGUGUUUGGGAGGAAAAUUGGCUGCCACGUGGCUACAAACUCAGGCCAAUUUUUCCUAUUUCAUCGAACCCACCUCAAUUAG
rnacentral:rRNA from 1 species